GACGAACGCUGGCGGCGUGCCUAAUACAUGCAAGUUGAGCGCUGAAGGUUGGUACUUGUACCAACUGGAUGAGCAGCGAACGGGUGAGUAACGCGUGGGGAAUCUGCCUUUGAGCGGGGGACAACAUUUGGAAACGAAUGCUAAUACCGCAUAAAAACUUUAAACACAAGUUUUAAGUUUGAAAGAUGCAAUUGCAUCACUCAAAGAUGAUCCCGCGUUGUAUUAGCUAGUUGGUGAGGUAAAGGCUCACCAAGGCGAUGAUACAUAGCCGACCUGAGAGGGUGAUCGGCCACAAUGGGACUGAGACACGGCCCAAACUCCUACGGGAGGCAGCAGUAGGGAAUCUUCGGCAAUGGACGAAAGUCUGACCGAGCAACGCCGCGUGAGUGAAGAAGGUUUUCGGAUCGUAAAACUCUGUUGGUAGAGAAGAACGUUGGUGAGAGUGGAAAGCUCAUCAAGUGACGGUAACUACCCAGAAAGGGACGGCUAACUACGUG
rnacentral:rRNA from 1 species